rnacentral:rRNA from 1 species
CUACGGAGGGUGCAAGCGUUAAUCGGAAUUACAGGGCGUAAAGAGUACGUAGGUGGUUUAUUAAGUCAGAUGUGAAAGCCCCGGGCUCAACCUGGGAACUGCAUUUGAAACUAGUAAACUAGAGUAUGGUAGAGGGGGGUAGAAUUUCUAGUGUAGCGGUGAAAUGCGUAGAUAUUAGAAGGAAUACCAGUGGCGAAGGCGGCCCCCUGGACCAAUACUGACACUGAGGUACGAAAGCGUGGGUAGCGAACAGGAUUAGAAACCCUAGUAGUCC